rnacentral:rRNA from 1 species
AGAGUUUGAUCCUGGCUCAGGAUGAACGCUAGCAGAACGCCUAACACAUGCAAGUCGAACGGGUUUCUUUUGGUAGCAAUACUGGAUGAAAUUAGUGGCAAACGGGCGAGUAACACGUACUUAACCUACCCUGGAGACGGGAACAACUACGGAGACGUAGCUAAAUCCCGAUACGCUCAUGGAAAUGAAAAUACCAUGAGGAAACAAUUUAUUGCUCUAGGAGGGGGGUGCGGCCUACCAGGUAGUUGGCGGGGUAAUAGCCCACCAAGCCUAUGACGGGUAGCCGGUCUGAGAGGAUGUCCGGCCGCAAUGGAACUGAGACACGGUCCAUACCCCUACGGGGGGCAGCAGUGGGGAAUAUUGGUCAAUGGGCGCAAGCCUGAACCAGCGAUUCUGCGUGAAGGAUGAAGCAUUACGGUGUGUAAACUUCUUUUUUGGGGGAAGACGAAUGACGGUACCCCACGAAUAAGGGACGGCUAACUACGUGCCAGCAGCCGCGGUAAUACGUAGGUCCCAAGCGUUAUCCGGAAUUACUGGGCGUAAAGAGUCUGUAGCUGGUUCUGAAAGUCUACUUUCAAAUCCCUCGGCUUAACCGAGGACAGGGGGUGGAUACUACAGAUCUGGAAGUCUUCAGGGGUAAGUAGAAUUUCCGGUGGAGAGGUGAAAUUCGUUGAUAUCGGAAGGAAUGCCAAAAGCGAAAGCAGCUUACUAUGAAUAUCUUGACAGUGAGAGACGAAAGCUUGGGUAGCAAACGGGAUUAGAUACCCCGGUAGUCCAAGCUGUAAACUAUGCUCGCUAAGUGUCUGAGCCUUCGGGCUGGGUACUGUAACCUAACGGGUUAAGCGAGUCGCCUGGGUAGUAUAGUCGCAAGACCGAAACUCAAAGGAAUAGGCGGGGGAACACACAAGCAGUGGAUGAUCUAGAUUAAUUGGAUAAUAAGCCAAGAACCUUACCUAGGUUUGACAUGUACUUUGUCGUCGGGGAAACUCGAUUAGCGUAGCAAUACGCGGGGUACACAGGUGGUGCAUGGUCGUCGUCAGCUCGUGCCGCAAGGUAUCUAGUUAAGUCUAGAAACGAGCGCAACCCUCAUCUCUAGUUACAGUGUCUAGAGAAACUGCCUGGGCAACCAGGAGGAAGGAGAGGAUGACGUCAGAUCCUCAUGCCCCUUAUGCCUAGGGCGUCAUAGAUCAUACAAUGGGGUGCACAAUGAGAAGCUAAGCCGCGAGGUGGAGCCAAACUCCAAAUCACCCCUCAGUUCGGAUUGUAGUCUGCAACUCGACUACAUGAAGUUGGAAUUGCUAGUAAUGGUGAAUCAGCCAUGUCACCGUGAAUAUGUCCCUGUUCCUUGCACUCACCGCCCGUCAUACCAUGGGAGUUGAGGCUCUUUGAAGAUCCGCUCUGCGGGUUGAAAAGGGAAUCGAUGACUGGGGUAAAGUCGUAACAAGGUA